CACGCAGGUGUUUUUCAAUCAGCUGAUGGCCGCUGAUUGCUUUCUCCUCCUCUUCCUAUUUAAUCUUCCUCCAGCCAUCACUUCCGUGAUGUUACUUUGAAGAGAAGCUGCACGAGCUGUGGAACGAAAAAAAAAGACACGAAAAAAGUGUUGCUGCUUAACUACUGAAACUGUUCCGGGAGGAGGAACGUUUGGCGGUAAUGCACCAACCGCCAUAAAACCUCAAAAAAGAACGAGGGAACUUCAAAAAUAGAAGAGAAAAAAAGAGAAAACUACCGCGGCGGUGACGUCAGACGCCGAAAAGGCUGCCGCGUGCAUCAGCUCGCACUUAGCCGCUUGAGGAUGGCGUGUUCGACCUGGUCCAGAUUUGUGGCCUGUCCAGAAUGGAACAACCUGCUUCCUGCUCACGGAGACCUGGUCGGACCCGCCAUAUACAAAAGCCUGAGGCUGUCAAAAAAAGGUUGAUCUUCAUGAAGAUCGUCAAACAGUAGGCGUCAUGAUUUAAUUCUGGGUGGCCGCAGUGUCCCCACUCUUUCUUGGCCGCUGUGCCUACAUCUCUCUGCAUUGUCCAACAUGGCCACGUUCUAUUUAUUCUCCUGCUUUCCAUCUGUCAAAUAGCUGAGGGUAGUACAUGGAGCAUUUGCCACAGGUUGGUUUUGUAUGUUCCUGUCCACUUUAUUGGGUGGUCUGAUCUGGUCCUUGUUGGUUAUAGUUUUGUGGAACUGCUGAGCGAGUGAUUUGAAAGAAUGAGGUGACUGAUGGAGUGGUUGAAAUUCUCUCUCUGAAUGAACGGGUUGUGUGUGACUGAGAUGCCUGGAUUGAAUAAUUAAGAUGGUCUGAGAAUAUGAUUAUGUUCAGCAGUUCACAUUAAAGUAGAUAUGGUGUCUUGAAGGACUUAGAUGCUUGAUAAGUUAUAAUGCACUAACAUUUCCUUUUUAGGUCUGUCUACAAAGGGUGAGUCCAUAUUUUUUUAUUUAUUUUGCAGAGUAGGGAAAUAAAAGAAAACUUGUGUGUUGUGUUUUUUGAAAGUGAACGUACUUAGGUGUCGGCAACUGACUUGCAAGUCUAGCUGCCCACAGCUAACUACCGAAUCACACUGACAAUUUACAUGCAAAGGUAAGAACACGCCUCUCUAUGGAGGCGUUUUCUUGCCACUGCCCUUAACUACUUUUUCUUUCCAACUGAUUCUUAAGACGGUAAGUCACACGCAGGCCGCGGGCCAUCGCUCUUCCGGCCGCCGUGUCGAUCUGUCCUGGCCCUCCUCGUGCCUUUCCUCACUUCUAAAAGGGAAAAAAAAAUCAACUUGAACUGUUUUCUUUAGCACUAAAAUAUAGUGAUGUUGGAGGACCAGAUCUUAAAUGAGGUUUAAAUGGAUGUUGGUGUACAGUUAAAGCUAGAUGGUAGGAAUAAAAUUAAUGUUGUGCCUUGUACACUCUGUCACAAGGCUUAGACUUCUUGGCCGCUGUGCCUUUUUUUUUUCUCCUCUCUUUUCCAUCGUGGCCAUUAAUCUACCAUUAGCCCUAGGACGUUAAAAUAGAUCCUGGUGAUCUACAAACACAGUACCUGGCUUUUGAUGGCAGCCCUGCCAUUGCCUUUGUAUGGCCAUACGUCCCUUAAUGCAAGUAGGCCAUGAUCGCUAACUGUGCCCGCGCCUUCAUCGUCUACUUGUGUUAUUGUACGUCUGGCCUUGCGCGUAUAGUCAUUUUACAUAGGCAAACAUGGGUGCCUUCCGCGUCCAUGCACAGUAAGUGAACUAACCUGUACUUUUCUUCUAGCAUCAGUCAAGAGGAGCACCGACAUCACUGCAUGUCCAUCUUAAUUAGAUUGCGUUUUAGUUGAGGUAAAAUUUCAAAUGGUGAGUGCAGUUUUUCUUUCUUGCUUGGCCGCUGUGCCAUUACUAUACCUGCUCUGAUCUGAAUCUUGAUUCUUCAUGGCCACUGUGUCAUGACUGUACUUGGUCUUGGUGUUUAUGCCAGUCUAUAAUUUCUGAUCUGUUUUUCCUACUACGUUUUCCGUGUGUGUGUGGUAUCCGUCUGUCUGUCCUGUGUGUGUGUGUGUGUAUGGUAUCCAUCUGUCCUGUGUGUGUGGUAUCCGUCUGUCUGUCCUGUGUGUUGGAUUUAGUCACUUUUUUUAGUCUCAACUUAAAUGGAUGAUUUUAAAGUUGAUUAGUUUUGAGGCAUCUGAUUUCUGCAGGAAAAUAUGGUACCUUAUUUUGAAAUGACUUUAAUUUAAAAAUUUAAUUUUGGUCUUGAAUCUCAGUUAUCAUUGCUGCAACUUGGACUGUUGACAAACGUGGAAGCUGAUGAAUCAUGUAGUAAAUGCAUCAAAGUUUACUGUAGCUUGUCUAAAGUUCUUUCAAAGUGCUGUAAAAAUUUAGUAAUUGAUUAUGAUGAGCUAUACCAGGUCUUCCUUUAUUCUCAACUGGUAAUUGCUUUGAUAAGAUAAGUGGUUCCUGAUUUGAAGCUAAACUUUUGAUUUAUAUGCAAGUGUAGUCACAUUAGAUUGUAGGUGUUAUUUAGCCCAUGGAUAAUGUUAUGAUAUACUUUAAAUCUGGCAUUUGUUGGCACACUUUUGAUAUCCAUUUAAGUCUUAAACUUUACGCACUGCCAUCAGCCUUUGUAGUCACUAACUGAAAUCGAAUUCAAUAUUAAUGCUGACUUGUCUCACUCUGCCAAGUUUAUUUCCCUCUAAAGGAGUUGAACCUUUUUGUGUUCAUAGUCUUUUUGCGUGUCAUGUUGGGAGGCCUCCCAGCAGGGGAUUUUUAUCUUCCCCUGCAAAACUAUGUGUUACUCGCCUUAGGGAUGCAGGGCUAUCCUGCAUAGUUUCUUUCAAAAAUUAGAUUGUAGGUUGCAGGUUUAGAGCGCGUUUCUUUUCUUUAGGAGGACACAAACCUGGCAGAGAGACAACUCGGAUUAUUU